rnacentral:rRNA from 1 species
AGUGAACGCUGGCGGUAGGCCUAACACAUGCAAGUCGAACGGCAGCACAGAGGAGCUUGCUCCUUGGGUGGCGAGUGGCGGACGGGUGAGGAAUACAUCGGAAUCUACUCUGUCGUGGGGGAUAACGUAGGGAAACUUACGCUAAUACCGCAUACGACCUACGGGUGAAAGCAGGGGACGUUCGGGCCUUGCGUGAUUGACUGAGCCGAUGUCGGAUUAGCUAGUUGGAGGGGUAAAGGCCCACCAAGGCGACGGUCCGUAGCUGGUCUGAGAGGAUGAUCAGCCACACUGGAACUGAGACACGGUCCAGACUCCUACGGGAGGCAGCAGUGGGGAAUAUUGGACAAUGGGCGCAAGCCUGAUCCAGCCAUACCGCGUGGGUGAAGAAGGCCUUCGGGUUGUAAAGCCCUUUUGUUGGGAAAGAAAUCCAGCUGGCUAAUACCCGGUUGGGAUGACGGUACCCAAAGAAUAAGCACCGGCUAACUUCGUGCCAGCCGCCGCCGUAA